UUCAAUCAAAUUCAGUUGGUCAUAACGACUCUGAAUUCAUUCAGCAUCAGUCAACUAGGGACUUGAGGGUAUCAUUCUUUUUUCCUUUGAAAAUUUUUUUGAAAAAAUUUUCCUGGUUUUUUUGAUUUUUCUUAUUUUUUUCACCCUCUUUCUUUUCUUUUCUUUUUUUUUUUUUUUUUUUUUUUUUAAUCCCCAGUUUGACUGGU
rnacentral:lncRNA from 1 species